AUUGAACGCCGGCGGCAGGCCUAACACAUGCAAGUCGAGCGGAUGAAGGGAGCUUGCUCCUGGAUUCAGCGGCGGACGGGUGAGUAAUGCCUAGGAAUCUGCCUGGUAGUGGGGGAUAACGUCCGGAAACGGGCGCUAAUACCGCAUACGUCCUGAGGGAGAAAGUGGGGGAUCUUCGGACCUCACGCUAUCAGAUGAGCCUAGGUCGGAUUAGCAAGUUGGUGGGGUAAAGGCCUACCAAGGCGACGAUCCGUAACUGGUCUGAGAGGAUGAUCAGUCACACUGGAACUGAGACACGGUCCAGACUCCUACGGGAGGCAGCAGUGGGGAAUAUUGGACAAUGGGCGAAAGCCUGAUCCAGCCAUGCCGCGUGUGUGAAGAAGGUCUUCGGAUUGUAAAGCACUUUAAGUUGGGAGGAAGGGCAGUAAGUUAAUACCUUGCUGUUUUGACGUUACCAACAGAAUAAGCACCGGCUAACUUCGUG
rnacentral:rRNA from 1 species